GACCUAGUAGCACAGCUGGUUAGUGCGCCUGCCUACCGUUCACUGUAUUCUAGGUUGUUCGCAGGAGCCCCUCGUUCGAACCGAGGUUGGGUCA